rnacentral:lncRNA from 1 species
UAAAUAGGACCAACGAUGAUGAGAGCACGUCAAUGACAUCACAUAGGUGUGGUAUUCAUCAAUCCCUUCUUUCUUUCUGUCUGUGCGUUUCAUGUGUAUACAAAUUCAUCUUUAUAUGCCAUAUUAAUUUUUCAUUUAGAUUCAGGAUGCAGGACGUUUCCCCAUCCGCCCGCAACCAAAAUGGUAGGAUUCGCACCACCCCGUCUCCGUAAGUUUUAACUGCCUGCUACAGUUGGCGGGCACAUGCGGACUUCCAUGUCUCUGUUUAGCUGAUGUUCGUAGUGCUAAGUACAGUACGCUAGUUUGCAAGUUGGCUGCUAUACAGUAUACACAUUCAUAUGUCACUGUCUACAUUCAGAUUUCUAGUUUGUAAACUACACGCUCAUGUAGACAAUCAGCUAUGUAGACAUAAAAUAUGCUAAUGCCAACACAUUCAGAUUAUGUAUAUAUAUAAUUUUCGUAUGCUGAAUCCGCAGUUAUAAUAUCUUUGUACAGAAUAUAAUAGCUUGUACUGAGUUAAUGCAGUAUACUAUGCGCAUGCACUAUUCCUUCAAUAGUAAGAGUAAUACUGCAAAUCUUCCGGUUCCAUAAAGAAUUCAUAGUAAUGGUAAUAAAGAAGGGGCCUGAUGCUCCUUCAAGAAUUCUGAUUAAGUAAAGUACAGUACCAACUUCAACAUUUCAGCAUAAUAAGCACAUGAGGCGAGCCAUGAAAAAUCGGAAAUUUCCAUUUUGGCAUCCUCUUUCCUUGAUAGAUCUUCCUCACUACUUAUUGGUUCUGCACACAAGGAAAUUAUUUCAGACCAAAGCAUCAUUUCAAGCAAGAAUGCAUUUCCAAUUAUAGAUCAAUAAAAAAUGGUUUAACAGAUAAUGAUGAGGAGUUCGCGAGGAAAAUUAGUAAUGAAGUCUUCUGACAAGCCAAGAACAAUGUGCUAGGAACUUAUAUUAGCGAUCAUGUGCCAGUACUUAGAAUCUGAAGUAGUUGUUUGAUAUCUGCUGGCAUUAGUAGAAGUAAAUUUGAAUUAUUCUCACUAAAAUUGCCCGAGAUGACAUCUUUUCUUCGCUGAUGGUGUGGCGUGCAUACCAGUUCUAUUGAGAAACUGUUAGUAGAAGCACUUGACUAGAUUCGAAUGAUCUAAGUACAACAAGCAGCCACUUACUACUAGCAGCUAUAGUUUCUCUGAGCACACACUGCUCAUUACAACAACUAACUAAGAUUAAAGUUUCCUUUGCUUGUUUUCAGGUGCAGAACCCACGUGUUUAGAGUUCAAACAUAUUCUUACAACAUGUAGCAGUAGUCCUUCCAUGUUGCUGAUAAACCACUCAUCCAAUUUUAUAUCCGCUCAUGUGAUAGCUUUAUUAUUUCCUCCACAUUUAGCACAAUCUGUUCACCCAUUACAAUCGAUGUUAUUAAUUGAAUAUGUUGACGUGCAUUUCACUGUACCAAAUUUACAGGAUUAUAGCCAGAAUUAGUUUUUUUACCUACAUGCUUUUCUUUGCUUAUAUUGUCUGAACCUAAAUUUGUACAUGACUCCAAAGGGAUCACCUCGAAAUAAGAAGGAAAUUCUUGUUUAUAACUUGCACUUUAAAUUCGUCCAGAACUUAUUUAUUAUCCAAAGUAGUAAUACUAAUUGUUUCUAUUUUCUUCAUUGCUAGCAGUAUAGCGGCAACUAGCAGGAACUAUCUUCAGGAUAUGGAGCUAUGGAUGCCAUGAGACACUGAUCAUUUGCGUUUAGUUGAUGAAGAUUGAACAUGUCAGUCUAGAUGCUCCUGUGCUGAGCUUAGGUUUUGUUUUAUGCAAUGAAGCUUUGAUCCAUUUCUAGGUACAGUGCACAUGUUCUUGCUAUACACAUGUGUACAAGCUGAAUGUAAUACUUAGAACAAAGCAUAUCUAUAUACAAUAUCAUGUACUUUGGAUGGUGUUCUUUGUAAAGCAACAUUGUUGAUUUAAUAUAUGAGGUCUUUCUUACUA